UGUGUUUUUAUUGCAAAUGCAACGAAAUACAUUCAGUGUUAUUGAAUUCUAAUUGUUUUAGUUGAGUCUAACUAAGUUUUUGAGUGAUUUUAGUAAUUCACUCAUAGUAAUAUAUAAAAAUUGAAUAAGAUCUCCUUUCAGGUACAUAGAUGGAGCAACAAGAGAUUUUAGAGGAGGCCGAAGUUCUUUGGUCAGAUUUGCCAACAAAAGGAGGCCAACUAGAAGAAAAAUCACAUAUCCAUAGGGGUGAACCUAGACCGCUAAAGAAAAGAAGAGAGGGCGAAACGGUUCCAAACACUGAAAAAACCAGAGGAGGUGUAUUGGCCAGAAGAAAGAUUCUUCUAACAGAAAAAACAAAUCAACUGGCAUAUGCUUAUGAUAAAGAAGCAGUCCAUAGAUUAGAAAAUGAAAUAAAAAAUAUAAAACAAGAAAUUAAAGAUAUUAAGAAACAAAAAAAGAAAAGUGCCGCCCAAUCAAAAAAAAAAUUAAAAAACCAGGGCAUAAAAUAUUAAUUAAUAAGUAAUAUGAUAUUGUAAACAUUUUAUAUACAAAAACAAAAAUUAUGUAAACAUAAAAGUAGUUAAUAAAAGAAAAAAACUCUUGAGCAUACACUGCACGCUUAAAUUGAAA